GCCGGGGUGGUGAAAUCGGUAAACACAGGGGACUUAAAAUCCCCCGGGCUUCGGCCCUUGCGGGUUCAAGUCCCGCCCUCGGCA
rnacentral:tRNA from 3 species